AGUGACAGCCUUGUACCAGAAAUCAAGAGAACUAUAAUGGAGAGAUUCAUUUAAAGGAGACAAAUAAAGAUGAUAUGUGUGUACCAAGACCACAAGAUGGGUGCAGUAAUUAUGUGCCACAAACACAUACUAAUAAAAAACAAAGGAGAUAAUGGUCCAGCCUACCGAGUAGAUCUGGGAAACUCAGAGCGAGAUGAGGUGCAAGGAAGAGAGGCCACCAUUGCUGGAACCCAGAGAGUGAACUUCCAACAAGGAGGCUGCAGGUGUGUCACAGUUGUGCUUAUUGUCAACGAUCCUGCCUUGUGUUUAAAGGGAUCAAACUCAAGUCCUUGCCCUUGCGAAGCCGGCUGCGGAAUCACUGAGCUCAAUCCCCGGCCCUAUCCAGAGUGUUUUAAUCUGGCUGCAAUCUAAAGGCAGAAGCAUGUGAGAUACUGAACACAGAGAUUUAAAUAAAAGCCUGCCAGAUACGCAGUGGACAGCACGCCAACCACGAGGGCCAGCAUGGCUCGGGGAAGAGUAUUCAGCUUGACACAGAUCUGUCCACCCUCAGCUUUCAGGGGCCUUGGGCUCCGGGCAAGUCCCUCAUCCUGUCCCAAACCUCCCUUCAUAAAGCAGGGAGAACGAUGCCUACUCCAUCAAGUUGUAUGAGCAAUAGGGAGGGUGUGGGCACAUUGCUGGGCUGUGGCAGAACUCCAUGCAUGCCAGCUGUGAUUGGCAACCAUCGCGAUGCUGUCAAACUAGUCAGAGGGAGAAUUUUAAUAUGCAAUGUACACAUGAGUACUAUGGAUUUCUACAGAUG